rnacentral:rRNA from 1 species
UACGGAGGGUGCAAGCGUUAUCCGGAUUCACUGGGUUUAAAGGGUGCGUAGGCGGACAGGAAAGUCCGUGGUGAAAUCCUGCAGCUUAACUGCAGAACUGCCGUGGAUACUCUCUGUCUCGAAUAUCGUGGAGGUGAGCGGAAUAUGUCAUGUAGCGGUGAAAUGCAUAGAGAUGACAUAGAACACCGAUUGCGAAGGCAGCUCACUACGCGAAGAUUGACGCUGAGGCACGAAAGCGUGGGGAUCAAACAGG